rnacentral:rRNA from 1 species
UCCAGACUCCUACGGGAGGCAGCAGUGGGGGAUAUUGCACAAUGGGGGGAACCCUGAUGCAGCGACGCCGCGUGGGUGAAGGAGCGUUUCGGCGCGUAAAGCCCUAUCGGCAGGGAAGAAGGAGGACGGUACCUGACUAAGAAGCCCCGGCUAACUACGUGCCAGCAGCCGCGGUAAUACGUAGGGGGCAAGCGUUAUCCGGAUUUACUGGGUGUAAAGGGGGCGCAGACAGCAGCGCAAGCCAGGAGUGAAAGCCCGGGGCCCAACCCCGGGACUGCUCUUGGAACUGCGCGGCUGGAGUGCAGGAGGGGCAGGCGGAAUUCCUGGUGUAGCGGUGAAAUGCGUAGAUAUCAGGAGGAACACCGGUGGCGAAGGCGGCCUGCUGGACUGCGACUGACGUUGAGGCCCGAAAGCGUGGGGAGCAAACAGGAUUAGAUACCCGAGUAAC